CCGCAGGCCAGCGGCCGUUCCAUCCACCUGAAAAGCGGAAGGUCGGCGGUUCGAUCCCGCCCCUGGCCA
rnacentral:tRNA from 3 species